rnacentral:rRNA from 1 species
UUGAAAGGGAAACGAUUGAAGUCAGUCGUACCGACGAGAAAUCAGCUUAUCGUGUGUGAACUUGUGGGCGUGCGUGAGUUUCGGCCUCGCUGUUUGCAUGUUUGUGCGCUUUGGGUGUACUUUUUCGUAUGGUUGGCCAACGUCAGUUUCGAUUACUAUAAAAUGACCGGCGGAAUGUAGCUUCGAUUUCGGUUGAAGUGUUAUAGCCUCUGGUAGAUGUGGUGAUUGGGACUGAGGAUUGCAACGAAUAUCCUUUGGGCUAUCCGUCUGAUCUCUGAAAGUUGCUCAGGUGCCGAAAGCGUGCUUAAGUUGACGGUCAAUAGGUUAGAACGUGAUUACAUUCGUUAAGGAUGUUGACGUA